GUGCCCAGGAGCUGAAAUGUAACACCCUUUUAUGCAACUUGCUGGAGAAGUGCCUGCAGAGCGAAACCAGACUGAACAGGGUGAGAAGCGACCUGCGCGAUUUGCUCUCACUCCAGGACCACGAAGAGGCAGCAAAAGUGGCCUCCAGAGGAGUUGCGAUGGGGAGGAAAGAAGAAAAAAGACAAGCAUUAGAACAACAAAAGUGAUACAAUGUUGCUGGAACAUGCAUUUAACAAACCUCCAUUAUACUUAUUAAUGCGCUUCUGCAUGUGUGUUUGUAAAUGGUCUGCAAUGUAUAUACUGAUCUUUACUUAAAGGUCAUGGGUUUUCAGAAUAAAACCUUAAACAAA